GAGGUAGAUUGGGUGGUUUCAACAGGAACGCAUCCACUGUCUGAGAGUUUAAACUUGAUUUUGUGAGGGGACGAACAGCGUGACAAUUAAAAGAAGAUCUGGGAAUCAUCCAAUGUGAUAAUUUAUGUGAAAUCUUUCUGCAAACUAUACAGUAUGAUAAAAAUAUAAGGUAGUUUCACUGGAAACAACAGAAGACUAGAAGCUGAUGUGACGUGGCAAUAUCAACCAGAAUAUUUGCUUGAGGAAAUGACCAAAAACUUAAAAUCUGUUAUAACAUUGACCCCUUAGAGACAUAAUAAACAUGGAAAGAGUGAAGAGUGUGGAAUUGUUUAAAACCUGGUUUUGUCAAGGAUCAGUUAAUCAUCACAUCUUCAGUAGUCUGGAAAUGUCAGCAUGCCAUGAAAGUAGGUGUUCAAGAACAUGACUGGAAAAAUACUUCAAUCCUCAGCCCACUUGGAUGAAGCCAAAGAAUCCACUGUCUAUCUUUUCUAUUCCAGCUGUACCUGUCAAAGUAAUUUAUCAGAAUUAGUGCUCUUCUUGAUGAUGUAAUAGUGAGCUGACACAUAAUUCUACUAUAUCUGAUAAGUAAAUUAUUAGCUCAUGCCAGAACAAAAAGGAUGGACAUUGCCACUCAAAAUUGAUUAUUUUACAUAACACAGGGACCACCCAUAGACUACAUAGGAUUUUCACGGAACUUCAGAAAUUCUUGAAUCUCAUUUUGAGAACCACUUUUCUAUUGUACUUUAUUCUGGUGUUUUCUUAGAUAGUGUAUAUCUGGGAUAUAUAGACAGAAAGUUUAUGCUUCUAGUAAGAGCAGAGAUGGAAACUUGAGCUGUGUGGAUACAGGAAUACUUCAGAAAAGCCUCAGGCUAAUAUAGUCAGACUUUACUCACUGGAUUGCCUGGAAAUAAUUUUUGGUCAGUGCUAUGAACUGAAUGUUUUUGUCCGUCUGUGAGGCCAUAGCAAGAAGGUGGCAGUCUGCAAGCCAGGAAGAGAGCCCUCAGCAGAAACCAAAUGGUCCAACACUUAAAUCUCAGACUUCCCAGCCUCCAGAACUGUGAGAAAAUAAAUUUCUGUUAUUAAAGC
rnacentral:lncRNA from 1 species